rnacentral:rRNA from 1 species
UACAGAGGGGGCAAGCGUUAUUCGGAAUUAUUGGGCGUAAAGGGCGCGUAGGCGGCCUGACAAGUGGAAGGUGAAAUCCCUCGGCUUAACCGAGGAACUGCCCUCCAAACUGUUUGGCUUGAGACCGGGAGAGGUGAGUGGAAUUCCCAGUGUAGCGGUGAAAUGCGUAGAUAUUGGGAGGAACACCAGUGGCGAAGGCGGCUCACUGGACCGGUUCUGACGCUGAUGCGCGAAAGCGUGGGUAGCAAACAGG